UGGGGAAUAUUGCACAAUAGGCGCAAGCCUGAUGCAGCCAUGCCGCGUGUAUGAAGAAGGCCUUCGGGUUGUAAAGUACUUUCAGUCGGGAGGAAGGUGGUAAGGUUAAUAACCUUGGCAAUUGACGUUACCGACAGAAGAAGCACCGGCUAACUCCGUGCCAGCAGCCGCGGUAAUACGGAGGGUGCAAGCGUUAAUCGGAAUUACUGGGCGUAAAGCGCACGCAGGCGGUUGAUUGAGUCAGAUGUGAAAUCCCCGGGCUUAACCCGGGAAUUGCAUCUGAUACUGGUCAGCUAGAGUCUUGUAGAGGGGGGUAGAAUUCCAUGUGUAGCGGUGAAAUGCGUAGAGAUGUGGAGGAAUACCGGUGGCGAAGGCGGCCCCCUGGACAAAGACUGACGCUCAGGUGCGAAAGCGUGGGGAGCAAACAGG
rnacentral:rRNA from 1 species